AUUGAACGCUGGCGGAAUGCUUAACACAUGCAAGUCGAGCGGGGUGUAGCAAUACACCUAGCGGCGGACGGGUGAGGAAUACAUAGGAAUCUGCCUCAGAGCGGGGACGAGCCCGGGAAACCCGGAUUAGUACCGCAUGAUGUCGCAAGAACCAAAGUAGGGGGACCGGCAAGGCCCCACCACUCUGAGAUGAGCCUAUGUCCGAUUAGCUAGUUGGCGGGGUAAUANCCCACCAAGGCGACGAUCGGUAGCUGGUCUGAGAGGACGAUCAGCCACACCGGAACUGAGACACGGUCCGGACU
rnacentral:rRNA from 1 species